UGGGGAAUAUUGCACAAUGGGCGCAAGCCUGAUGCAGCCAUGCCGCGUGUAUGAAGAAGGCCUUCGGGUUGUAAAGUACUUUCAGCGGGGAGGAAGGUGUUGAGGCUAAUAACCUCAGCAAUUGACGUUACCCGCAGAAGAAGCACCGGCUAACUCCGUGCCAGCAGCCGCGGUAAUACGGAGGGUGCAAGCGUUAAUCGGAAUUACUGGGCGUAAAGCGCACGCAGGCGGUCUGUCAAGUCGGAUGUGAAAUCCCCGGGCUCAACCUGGGAACUGCAUUCGAAACUGGCAGGCUAGAGUCUUGUAGAGGGGGGUAGAAUUCCAGGUGUAGCGGUGAAAUGCGUAGAGAUCUGGAGGAAUACCGGUGGCGAAGGCGGCCCCCUGGACAAGACUGACGCUCAGGUGCGAAAGCGUGGGGAGCAAACA
rnacentral:rRNA from 1 species